UGAGCAAUCUGCCCUUCUCUUCGGAAUAAGCGUUGGAAACGACGUCUAAUGCCGAAUACGACCUCCUUUCGCAUGAUCGGAGGUGGAAAGCUCCGGCGGAGAAGGAUGAGCUCGCGGCCUAUCAGCUAGUUGGUGUGGGUAACGGCCCACCAAGGCGACGACGGGUAGCCGGCCCGAGAGGGUGACCGGCCACACUGGGACUGAGACACGGCCCAGACUCCUACGGGAGGCAGNAGU
rnacentral:rRNA from 1 species